rnacentral:sRNA from 2 species
UGCAUCUGUAGCCAGUGAGGAUGAGAACCUCCGGGGGCAGGAGGUUCGACUCGAGCGCAGCGAGAGAACGUUGCGUCAGCAACGGCCCGCAGGGCGAGCCACGUAGUGGCGAGUCAUCCUCUAUCACCGACCA